rnacentral:rRNA from 1 species
UACGUAGGUGGCAAGCGUUGUCCGGAUUUACUGGGCGUAAAGAGCGCGCAGGCGGUCGUUCAAGUCGCGUGUGAAAGCCCCCGGCUCAACUGGGGAGGGUCACGCGAUACUGAUCGACUCGAAGGCAGGAGAGGGUAGUGGAAUUCCCGGUGUAGUGGUGAAAUGCGUAGAUAUCGGGAGGAACACCAGUGGCGAAGGCGACUACCUGGCCUGUUUCUUGACGCUGAGGCGCGAAAGCUAGGGGAGCAAAUGGGG